GGGUCUGUAGCUUAAUUGGGAAAGCACCAAGCUUGCAACUGGGUAGAUGUCGGUUCAACUCCGAUCAGUUCCA
rfam:Lyngbya sp. PCC 8106 1099428180503, whole genome shotgun sequence.